GAACUUCAUUUUUAGAUUCUGUAACAAGAUCUGGGUCUGAGUCACUUGAGUUGGGAUAGUAUACCUGAAAUCAGCUGCAUCUCCCUCAUCCUCACUUGAUGACUCUUUGUGUAAAGGGAGUCAGAGUGCACAGAACACCCCUGAAUUUCAGAUUUCUCUGAUCAACGUGUUUAUUCAAUUCAAAUCAUUUUAUUUUGUUCAAUUCAUCUGCAACUUAUGGCAUUUCUGGAGUAACAUUUUCAGGUAUAUUACACAGUAUCAUGCUUUAGGAACGCAGUAACUUACAAUGUUUUGGCCCUCUUGUUUAAAGACCACAACUUGUUGAAUUCAGCCCUUCACCCUUGCAAUCUGUAUUUAGCCCCCAUUGCUUUAAAAACGUAUUUUCAACGUGAAAUGCAAUAAUAUUUAUGGGUACAGCAACCACCUAACGCAUUAGCAACACCAAACACACAAAAAAUAUUCUGUGAUGUUUACUUUUGGUCCGGGUCAUUAUGCUGAAUGCUAGCAUGCUCCAAGCUAGCAUGCUAACUAGCAAACUACCUGCGCUAACGCUAACUAGCUUAAGAAAAAGCACCGUCUUUCCUGUAUCGGGUGGGCAGCACAAGUAAAACAACUGGUUAUAGUUCCAGGUGUGCUUCAUUCAAACACUCACGUACUUACAGAGUAUUGGAGCCGGUAGUCGUGGUUCUAUCAGCCCGUUCAUGUCGCUCUGCUGCGUACAAACUUCACCUCGUGCAGCAUUGGGUAGAAGGUCUGCAAAGGUCUGAGAACUCGCGCAUGCGCGUUACAGAUGUGAGAGGAUUUGCGUGUUUACAAUUAAUGUUUGAAACUGCCCGCAUUAUUAUGUCUUAAAAGCAUCUUAUUAACAACACGCAGUCCGUAGUUUCAUAUUUAUGACGUGAAAUAUUAAAUACAUUGAAAUUACAUCUAGACCAAAUUUCGCCGACCAGUUCAUUAAUUAUUAUCAAAAUCUUAACGUUAAUAUCGUCUCUCUUUCAACCUUACGUUACAACAUGACAUAUUUAUGAACAAAUUGACGUUUGCUGGCACGUUGAUGUUUCAUCCAAUUUUUAGCCGGUUGAAAAGAUGUUGAAAUGAGGUCUUAGACGUUCAGACCUCAUUUCAACCCGAUUUCAACCAUAUUUCAACGUUGAAAUUACGUCUUGUGGUCACUGGGAGGUUCUCUAGCAUGAUGCUAGUAAUGCUAACAGUGACUAGCUAACUGUGUUCACUCACCAGCGUCUACGGGAUUAUGUCAGUUGACACUCUCAACUGGCUGUCUGCAUGACUAGUUGGAAAACAGUCUUAUUAGUAUAAUUAAAUGUAAGCUAUGAUAACAUUUUGAAUGUUUUAUAAUAUUUUGUACCAAAAUCCGGGAGCGUCUUUCCUUCACGUCUCACUGGAAGGAUAAAAAAAAGGGAUUCCUCACUCGUGGGAAGCUCCCUUGAGCGGAAUGCAAGCGUGCCCCCCAGAGGCCAUAACUGCCACUACUACUGGUAUUAGUAGCCCCAACUUCAUGAGGGUUACACUUAGGGUUGCCAAUUUAUGAGUGAUUUUGAUAUGUCCCGUCAGGGACAGCUCCAGUCCCGUAUUCCAAUCACAGCCAAUAUUUUUUUAAAUAUUAAAUUUUUUUUUUUUUAGACGACCAAUAAUAGGCUUCUUUAAACGUGCCUAAAACUCACGCGAACGUUGCUAUGGGACACGGUUGUUGCUUGUUGGUGACAGUUUGUUUGAACUGGCCACUGGGAGGUGAGCGUUAUCGUGUGUCAAAAUGAGAAGUGAACCUUCAAAGAAAAAAAUACUUUGCAGCUAUAAAAAAGAAGGGAAGCCAAAAUGUCAUGGGUUAAAGCAGUCGCCAAUGACGAAAGGAAAGCGUUUUGCACAGUAUGCCGCCGAGAACUAUGCGCGCCUGCGCACACCUGGAAAAAAGUGUCCCUCUUAAGGGGUUGAGGAAGUUGGCAACCCUAGUUACACAACCCUCCACAUAUUUUCAGUAUGCUGAAAGGGUUAUAGGAGGGAGUCAGGUGAUGUCACCUCACAUCUCCCACAUCCUCGCAGCACAUUUUUUGCGAAGGCUGAAUUUUGAUAAACCGACCGUAAAUGUUGCUUAAAACAACUAACUUCUCGUCUGAAAAAGUCUGAAAAUUACAUUUCAUGACGUAAAUAUGGUAGUAUUUAUAAACCUGGAUCUACACAAGGACGGGCGAGCCUGGACUUAAAAGCAUUGUUACGGCCCUGUGUUCCACAGCCGGGCCUUGUCUGUGUGUAUGUGCAUUUUUUGUUGAGGUUGCUUUGUGUGUGUGUGCAUCUCCCUUCUCCCUGAUUGGCUGAGGACCUCAGGAUCGUUAGUGGCUGCACCUGGCUGGAGCUCAAAAGGCCACAGUCUUCAGGCCCAAGGGGGUCGCUACACAUGGGUGAUACUGUAUGGUCAGACAUUUGUUUUGCAUUGGGGGUGGAUUGACUGUUCUGUGGGUGUUUUAGUUUUUGAUAUCUGUUUUCAUUAUUAUUACAUCCGUUUUUUUUUUACUAACAACCGUGUUCUUCUUGUCCCUUUUCGUCCCAAGGGGAAGGGAGCCGUUGUGGCUAGACUAGAGGCCCAUGGGCAUACAUCACCCACAGUGAGUCUCUGUCUAGGAACACUAGCUUAGACCUGGGCAGACCACCACCUGUAUUUUUGGUUAGCAUGCCAAAGCUAUUUUAGUUUGGUUCUGCCCAGCCGUUCUCCCUGCAAUCCCUGUGAUUAGAGACUUAAUAAAAUAAUCUAUACACGGUAAAAUUGUCCUACUUGCACCACGACCCCCACAUGCCCCCUGUUAGUGAUACACUUGGGUCUUGAGCAGCGGCGUGUCAACGGUCCCCUCCCAUCUAGGGAGCUGGUACAUAACAGCAUAUUAAGGAAGGGCGUAAGAUUGGCGCUUUUCGCUGUUCAAAACCCGCCCUCUUUGCUUCCGCUGGUGUAACUGAGAUGCCUUCCGUAUGCUAGUGAAUUUCAACCAUACAUAGUAUAUAUACAUUAGUAUAUAGUAGGCGUAAGAGUGUCUCAGUAGUGUGUAUGAGAGUGUCUCGGUAGUUAAGUCCUAAACGGCCCCUCAUACUGCUCUUGUGAGGGCCAUUCCUCUUUCUUGCAUGUUUAAAAAGAGGUGGGAGAUCUGCUCUACUGUGUCAGACAUUAGCUCACAUAGGAAUUAAUCUUGCUCCAUUUUGGUCAUUGCCUUGUCAUUUUCAUCUCUUGUGACAUCCACUAAAAAAGCACUGAAGUGGUGAUACAUGGCCUUGUAGGAAUUCCAUACAGCUGUCACAGUUCUGAAACUGCUGUCUGCCCAUCGGACAUCAAGGACCCUCCCGUUCGUUUGCAGAUUUUCUUCAAGUUGUUGUGCAUGCACCGCCAGUUCCCGGCAGUUUUUUGGUGACCUGUGGUACAAUGUGUAAAUUGUCUAAAAAAGACUUGAAAUGAUUGACAUUAGUAGUGUGCUUGACUGUGUCUCCAAGAGCCAAUUUCCAGCCUGUGGUUUAGACAGUGCCACGCAAUGAGAUGUGGAUACAGGAUUUGUAGACGUGCAGCUACCCCUGACUUCCUGCCCAGCAUGGCACUGGCUCCAUCACUGGCAAACGCAAUGAAAUUGCCUUGAUGAAAUGUUCAUCCAUUCUCCAAGUCUGGAGGCACUGUAGUAAACUCUUAUUAUUCUCUAAUUCUCAGCUGACUGGCUUUCCAGCUCUGCCAAAUAUUGCUGUGGAUACUUCACUUAAAAUGGAUCUUUUGGGUAAACGCUAUUUCCAAAAUACCAGAGGUGCGUAAAGGGUGUUUACGUGUGUUUAACCUCCACUACAGCACUGACUGUGUUAUUGUGUUUCCUCUCACUCAAGGCCAAAGUGAUGUUUGCUUGGUCGUCCGAAUGUCAGGGAUCUUUUGAUGCAGUAAAAUCUCUGUAAUGCUCUUUUUCCCGUGUUAGCUGCUCCUCGUUUUGAUCGAGCAUCUAAGUCAGCGUUUUUUAGGCCAUGCACCCCUUCUUCAUCCCGACUGGGUUCAUGCACCCUCAUACCCACACACUUAAAAAGAAAAAGUCUAUUUAUAGCUGCAUUCAAAUUGGACCAAUAACAGAAUAGUUCGCUAACGGGUGGUGUUUGUUUACAAUAUUUAUUUUGCUGUUAAAUGUUGCAUCGUGAACACAGACCGAACAAAGGGGCAACUACAACAUUGUAUCAUAUUGAUUCCGAAUCAGGACAGACAAAAAAACUAAAUAAAUACCCUGAAACACUGCAAGUUUCAAUAAAUUCCAUUUACGUCACUUUUAAGGAGUAAUAAGAAGGACAAGGACACAUGCACAGGCUCGGAGGCAGAUCACAUCAUAUUCUAUUUACAAUUAACCAUACAUGGUGGCAAAAUGAUUUAAUAUUAAAAAUAUAAAGUUACACAUCACAACUGAUCAUAGGAGGUGGGUAGGGGGAUUUGAAAUGACUUACACCGUAAUCCACGUAAAGAACAAAUAGCAGCACAUGCAGAGUCUCACAAACAGUUACGAAUAAUAAGGGAGGGAUUCCAUCUGAGGAUUUCACACGCAGCGCAGGGCUCAGGCUGCAGCGAGAGAGACGUUAGCGAGUAUUAACUCUCUGUUUCUAUCGCCUCGGAUUCCUCCUUCUCUCUCUGUCCCUCUCCUCUUUCGCAACUGAUAGCUUCAGAUGUCCACCGGACAGUUUCCCGAUUUCAGCCAAGUCAGCUUAGCCAAAAGUUAGAGCAGUAAACAAUUAUUGAAUAAAUUUAAAACGCUCACCUCUUGUAUGAUUUUAGCAAUCACUGAGGCUGAUGAAGAGGGCAGAUGUUAUUCAAGUACUUUUCUGCCUUCAUGCUUUGAAUAGUUUGUCAUUUUUAAAUGAUUUAAUUACAUUCUACUGACACGAAACUCUCAUCAGAAAUGUGCGAUGUCUAAUGUGAGAAAUGUAUGAAUUAUGUUGAGAUAACUUAACACAUCUGUAGAUUAUGUUAUGUCUUAAAAAAAUGAAGGAAAAAAAAUCAGCUUUUCCUUGAAUAAAAAGGAAAAGAGGCAUUGAACUUCACAAAGAUUAAAAAACGUGGGCAUGCCUCUGAAAAUACCUUCUUGAAAUGAUAAAAUCCAACAUUUAAAAUUUCUAUACGAAUUUUAUGUGAGACUAAGAGGAAGUAUAUUGAGCGUCCACGUCAGUUGGGGCCUUUCUUAAAGUCUGUAUAAAACAGAAGUCCUACAGGGUAAAUAUUUAUCAGGGCACCUAAACAUACAGUUUAAAAUGAAAUGCUUUAUUUUCUAUAUUUGAAAACUCAAGUGCCAUGUCAAACUAGAAGAGAGGGUGUCGCGACGGCAACAUGAGCAAUGUUGUACAAACUGAAGUAGUUUGGAAUUAAUGAAAGACAGAUGCCACCUCAUGUGCACAAGAUGUCCUCAGACGUACACACGCCACACCGAGGGAUAUGUGUUAUCAGUCGUGACACAUGCUGCUUAUUUGUUUGUCUCCAGUAAUGUGGCGCACAACACUAUUCAUCAGCCCUCAUUUUCCCUGUGGCAAGCAGGUUUGUGUACAUGUGCGAGUUGUGUGUGUUAGUGUGUGUCCUGCUGAGGCACCAGUCUGGGUGUUUAUUGGUUCCCCGGAGCAAAGGUUCCCAGCCUCAUUUAAAGCAGGUUUAUUGCGCUUUCUGAGCCGCCGUUGCCAGCGUGUGAUUACCUGAACAGACUCAUUUGCUGUCCAAAGUUAUUCUCCUCAUACAAAGCCUUAAGUUAACCAUUGCACAAAAUAUUUUGGUACUUACUUGGCCAAUCUGGUUUUGUGAAUUGUUGUCAUGCCUCUUUGCCUAUCGAUGCAGUCAUUUUCAGUCAGUUUCUUCCUCCUCUUUACAGUGAAGAGCCGCUUUUAAUUGCAUCGAAUUCACAAGAAAAAAACUCCUUCUGUUUUUUAAAAACCUUAAAGAAAUGUGAGCAAAAUCCAAUUUCACCAACUGUCAUUUAGUGCACGCUGUUGUGAUCAGAUGAUAAAUGUGGCAUUAAGUUUGUGUGUGUGUGGGAGGGGGGGGUGGGUGCAUGACCCCUGUGAGACAUCACCAGUCCAGCCACGCAUCUAUCCAUCACCCGCGCAUCAUGGAUCCGCCACCAACUCCGGGACGCCGAUGGAGACACCUUCCGCACCUGUUUCUGUAUCCCUCGGCUUGAUGCGGAAGCAGGAGAGCGAGGAGAGUCUGGAGUGGAGGCGGCUAUGGGCUGAAGUUGUGCUAAUGGGGAGAGAGAGUACAUUCUCCCACACAUCCAUUCCCGGUGCUGUCAAGGAGCAUCAUGGUGGAACGCUGACGAUGGGAACCCCAGUCCCUCCCCACCCCAACACCUGCUGCUCCUCCAUCUGCUGCAGCACAAAAAGCCUCCCGCUUCUCCUGUUUAUGCCCCCAUUUAUACCUCCAUCCAUGCACCCCAUACAUUCAUCCAUAGAAAAAACAGAAGUUGUGGUCUGCAAAGUCCUUGGCUCCUCUAGAGCUGCAAGCGGCCGACACUGUUAUUGUGAAACCCUUCAGCCACUGCUGCAAAUCUCUAAAGGCUUUGUCGCAGCUGCUCUGGGAUCAUACUGGAAGAGUGACACUGAAUUCACAAGCAGGAGGUCACACAUGGAAGUUACAGAUAGUAGAGCUCAGUCAGGCUACACAAUGAUGCCGAGGGACAGUUGAUGAGUGCACAAUUUGGACCUCGGAAAACCGUGAAAUGCAACCCAGCCACGUUCUUGUCAGGAACAGUAUUUGCAUCAGCGCUUCCAUCUGAGGAAGAUGAGAAGGAGACUAGGUGAGCAGAGAGGUGGGUGCUCCCUGAUUUAUUCUAAAAAGAUAUCAUGCUAAAAAUGUCCCCAAGUAAUAAGGGGAAUGUUUAUCCUCCAGGGCAGAAAUACCAGGAUUAGUGUUUUGUAGGAUCAUGAAAACAUGCACACACAUAAAAGCCAUCUUUGUGACACCCUUUGUUGGUGAUGUUAGUUGCCUGGAGGACUGAAAAAAAACAAAACAAAUGGCAUUCCUUGUGUUUGCCCUUUGCAUCUAAAAGGUGUUGCUCUCUCAGCAGCAUAGAACCGGCGUCUUUUCAUUACAGGUACAACGAAUCCAUGAUGAUUGUACCGCCUCAACUAAAUCGGUCCGGUGAGAAUCUCGAGGUCUCUUCCGGAGUUCCGGUAACCUCCUGAGAGGUUCACUAUAGCGGUCGUCCUCCAUUGUGGCCUGAAGACAAGGGUGUAAGACAACCGAGAUGGAGCAAAAAGGAGAGAGAGGCUAUCAAAAAAUAUCAUUGAUAUUCACGCAACUGUGUGCGUGUGUGUGAGUGUGGUCCAUAACAUCUUGUCUAAUGAGUGUGAUGAGUUUACUUUUAUGACCCUGGGUGGUCGUUUUUUGGACCAAAGCGAAGAGUAUGAAACCCAUGCAGGAUUAUUUAUUUCGCUUAAAUAUGUCUCAUUAAAAAAAGCACAUUUAAACAUCACACCUUUCAAACAAGCAUCUCAGGUUUUACUAUCGAAAAAAACCCAAUUCCAAUUAAACAUUAAUAUCACCCCAAUAACGUAAAACAAUGUUAUUGUGACACACACAAUCUCAGCUGUAAUAACAUACUGUGUGAAUGCCGACUCCUGUUAUUUAGUUUGCAUAAGCUUUGUUAACAUUACUGCUGUGUUAAUUUAUGAGACUAUUCAAUGUACGUGUGGUGUGUCUGUGGGGGUCAUUUUGUCUGGUUGCCCAUUGGUUGUCUAUUGCGAUAUGCGAUAUUAUUUCCAACAAUGAAAGCAGACUGGAGGGAAGCACGAUCGACUAAAAUGUUGGUGACGUUCAUUUAUAUGUCAAAUGAACAUCGCACCACCCAAAAUGAUCGCACUCAUCUCCCUACGCGGUGCGAUAAGUCAAUAUAUUGCGAAUGGCGACAGGUCUGCUCAGGUCACCUCUCCCGACUGCAUCUGUCUUAACUCCUGCUUUGUGGCUUUUUGGAGGGGAAACAGUUGACACCGUUUCCCUGAGGGUAGUCUCAGUGGUUCACGGGUAAGGCUACCGUGGGUUUCACACAGCUCGCAGACACGCAUACACACAUGCACACACACACACGCAUGCAUACGCACAGACCUAUGCACGCAGAGACACUCCAGAGGAGCGGUGACAGGCAAAGAUGCCCUCAUUUUGACCUGUGAGCCAACGCGGAGGAUGUCUGACAACCUCAUUGCCCCCCCCUCGCCCCCCCGCCUUGUAUCACGGGAGGAUCACUUGGGGACACACAUUCGACUGAAAGCUCUGAUACACACACACAUAGCCAUGUAUUUGCUGUGUAUUUCAAUGCUUACACAAACAACAAAGCCUAGUCUAACACCUGCCGCUCUGUGCAUUGACUCAACAGUGGCUCGAGCCAAACUCCUAACGCCGGCAUGCCACCGUAACAUGCUGAUAACGACAAUUUCAACAUGCCGAUGAUUAGCAGGUAAUCUUCACUGUUUUCGUUUAGCAUUAAGCGUGCCAAAAUGAAUGUGCUAAGUGCUAAUUAUCACCACACAGCACGCUUCAUCUCGGCGUGCCAUGGAUGUUUGUUUUGUCUGAAUUGUAUAUUUAUGUUAGACAGUAUAACUGUUAAUGUACUUUUAGGAUAUGUCAUAGUCAUUUGGACAAGAAAGUGGCUACUUCUUGACUCAUAGGUCUAGAAUUCCUUCCCAAUAUUGCUUAGUAAUUAUAGACCCGAGUAAUUGCAGCUUAAUCAUUUAUCUUUGUCGUUAUGUGAACCUGUUAAUCUUGUUUGGUUUGGGGUUUUAUCAGAAAGCCUUCAGCUGACAUACCCUUGUGAUGGAAAUCUAAAUGUAUUCAUAGCCGCUGAUAAAAGGACGUAUGUAUACCAUUAUCAAAACGUCACUGACAAACCCAUUCUGCACCUCCGUGGCUCAGGUGUUCUCAUUCCUGAUGCUGAGCAAGAUGAAAUCUAAUGAAUGUUCCCAUUAUUACAGUGCUGAAGGGCUCGGGGUCAGAAGCAGCAGGUGCCCUGAGGGACUGAAGCCGUGCACAGCAAAUGUUUGGGCUCCACUUCUCACAGGAUGAGUCAACGGGCCCAGAGUAACCCCCGGACCUUUCUCAAAUAUCAUAGGCCUCUGUGUUUGUGUGUUGAAGGAGGUGAGGCGUGGAAAUAUUGGAAUACAGCAUAAUCUCACCAACCUCUUCCUCUUCUUAGAGCCUAAUGUCGGCUGUAUCGGCGAGAUUUAGAGAUAACGCCACUUGGAUCUGUCUGGGAACACUGCAGAUACUAUGGUGCUCAUGAAAUGCUUAUGUGACCUUGCCCGAGUGUGUGUGUGGUGUGCAUGCUGAGCUGAUAGUCGCAGGUUGGCAUGUGACAUGUGGCUUUGUCUUCAUUACAACAACAUCAGGCUGUGCACCAUCCAGCACAAUGGCUUCAUUUAGCCGGCUGAUCUGCUGAGAGCUGCUCUGCAAUAACACGGGUCAGGACCUGAGCGGGAGCGAACCGUCACACUGCCGCCGCCCUCUUCUCUGAUGAAAGACGCUGUCAACAAUCCCCUUUGCUGCCGCGCUAAUCUACGUCGCUAAUACACCCUGCUCCAUCCCUUGCUCUCAACGUUGACUGUUUGCUCUUUUCCAGCCUCGCUCUAUUUUCUGCACAUAAUCGUUCUUUUCUCUGUAAUCUUCCUUAACGUACUUUCCCAAUGCAGUUCUCGAUCCCCUCUUAAAGCUUCUCAUUUUCUUCCUUCUUUCCUUUUUGUUCAAAUUUUAUUCAGCCUCUUUAAGUCUUGUAACUUUUCCUCAAAGUUGCUCAUAGCGUGACAUCAGAUAAUAUAAAAUAUUGUCACAAUAUAGUUCUGUCAAUGUCAUAAAAAUAUGAUAUUAUACUAUGCCACUAAAAAAAUCAAGAAAAACGUUUUCAAAUGAUUUGACAUGAAAAAAAAAGAAAAAUUAAAACUCUUAGGUCAAAAAGUGUGCAGAAAAAAAGUCAUGGUACAUUAGAUUGAAAAAUAUCAUGGGAAAAAAAAUAAAAAAAACAUUAGGUCAAAAAAGGCCAUGGAAAAAGCAUAAAUAAUUUAUGUAAAAAAAUAUAUUAGGUCAAACAAUCUUAUGGAAAGGAAAUUUUAAAUACAUCAGGUCAAACAUUUUUAUGGAAGAUGAAGUCAAAAUAUAUUAGGUCGAAAAAUGUAAUAGAAGAAAAAGCCUAAAUAUAUGAGGUUGAAAAUUGGAUAAAAGUCCAGAUACAUACAAGAUAAAAGUAUGACAAACCAUGCUAUGAUUUCUAUGACUUUUUCAUGAUGAUAUUCAUUACAUUUCGAAGAUAUUGCUAUGGCAUUAUUUCAAAGAUUUAUCAUAUAUUAUGACAUGUUUCAUGAGCUGCUAUUUUAUGAGAUUUUCACAAAAAUAUUAUUGCAUGCUUUACUAUGACUUUUUAUGAGUUUUUUUAUGACACACUAUAUCAUGACAUUACAUUGCAUACUAAUCAUCCCGAAGCCACAAUCAAAGUAUCUGGAUCCUUUUGUUUUUCUUUAUCGGUUUAUUCCUCAUUCCCAUUUCGUCCAGCAUCCGCUGCUUGUCUUACAUCUCCAGUCGCCUGUGUGGCUUUUUGGCUGCUUCCCCACUAUUUUCUUGAGGAUGGAGACACAAAAGAUAACAAAUGAGCUCCUGAAAUGGGUUGUAAUUACAGCUUCUGGAACUAUUAAGUUCUGGACAUCAGAGAUAAUGGUAUUCUUGGGAAGCGUAAAUCACACCUAAUGGUGUCCGAAUGACCAUGUCUAUUACAAACCAUAACCAAUCAUUUCCUAGUUCAUAAGAAAGCUUAAGAGAGCCCUGAAUAUAAGAUAUUUCAUAUGCUCUCAAUAUUCAACAACAUUAAACACAACACAGCUGGUAAUGACAAAAAUAUACCUCCUUUAAAGCUUCAGCACCAAGAAGAUGUCUUCUCUGCUGGUCUGUAUAAUGGCCCUCUUCUGGACAUCGAUCCAGGUCGCAUAUCUAAAAGUGUGACAAGAAAAGCAGCUUUUCUAGCAUGCAAAAUAACAGUUACGUAAAAAUCAUUCCAAGACAAUGCAGUUUAAUGAAACGUAUUUUAUGAGUUCACUUCCUGCUUCUGAUACUGACAUGCAGAUACACUAUAAGUAUAAGUAAAACAUCUGAACAGUUCUCCUUGGUAACAUCUUAGUACUGUGCUUCAUACAAGUCCUUGUUCAAGGCUGUGAAAAUACCCCCGGAUGGAUGAAAUGGUUUCACUCCAGAUAGUAGCUUUCGUAGACAUUCAUGACCACGCUUGUGCGGACACACAAACGCACACCCACACACACACAUGCACGUACGCACACUGACAGCCUGAAAGAUGGGUGAGCUUGAAAGGAGGCUUGGGACUGGGGGGAGGGACGAAAGGAAAAGGAGAUUGGAGCAGAAGGCGACCGGUGAGCUACUGAGAUAUAAACAGGUGAAUGAUUUUCUGUUCCCUUCCAGAUUGUUUCCUCAUCUCUCAACCAGACCCGGCCCUCAGAGAGAUGAGCUGGGCCGCCAGUCCCUUCCUAAAGCGACGCUGGUAAACUAUGUGGCACAGACGUUUUGCUCAACCACUGUCGCUUCUUCUCCGUGCGCCACUGGCCAAGCUGGUAACAUGCACAGGCCUCUGAAUCGCAUUAGCUGUGGGGUUGUUGUUAACUGAUACAAGCAGAAGCCCUUCUUCAAGUAGUGCAACCUUUGUGUGCACGGAUCCCUCAGGCAGACAUGCACAUGAUUUGGACUGCAAGCGAAAACAUGAGUGUCCCGGAGGAACAAACACUCUGACCUUUACAAAGAUUCAUUUUUUUCCCCCCUCAAAGCGAUUUUGUAUCUUCUCCAUUUUCCAUUUCAUUUGGCAGGCUGAAAAGUAAUAAAUAAAGGGGGAUUUGAAGAGACAUCCAAGAGUGUUUUUUUUUCUCCAUUUGUUUAGUAGAUCGAAUCAGAGUUACUCCAUGGACAACAAUGCAGCCACUGCAUAGAGACCACGACACGUUUCUGAUAGAGGGAGUGUACAAUAUCAUGACGUAAAUAUUUUGUGUGAGAUGACAAAUUUAAAGUCAAAUAUUUGAAUAAAAGUUUGCUAAUGCAACUGCUCACACUUUCACACUCUUCCCAAUAUGCGUGAGCUCGUGCUUGCUUGCAUAUGGUAAGCAAAUCCUUUAAACCUGGAGGUGUCUAAUCUUUUAUGUGUUUUACAAUUAGAACUCCCCCUCCGGGAUUACAUCUGCUUAGAGGAAAAAAAGUUGUUUGUUUCCAGGUAAAAUUAGAAACUACCAAAUACAAGAUGUUUAAACAGGGAUUUGUGUAGCGAGUGAGGCUCUAUUCUGUCCCGUCUACAGUAAAAAGACCAAGUGAACCAACAGGCCAAGACAACAGCCAGCCUUUCACACGGAGCGGCAUUGACACCUCUCUGGGCCCGUCUCCAAGCUGCCAGUCCCAACUAGCCAGUCGCCUCCCCUCCAUCCAUAUCAUUGACUCGCCACUGACUUCAGCGCACUUUUGCCAAGCCCCUCUGAAAUGACGCAUUGUGCCUGGGGAGUUAUCAGAGAGGACAAUAUUCUCCUGAAACAGUCCUAAAGUGGACUUCAGAGAAAGGACCUGCCUGCUUUACUUUCUCUCUGCGGUUGCUAGGCUAGUUCCCCACACAGGAUCACUGGGGCCUUUAUGGGCGGCUGGCACCGACCCAGCCCCCCCCCCCCUUUGCCUCGGACUGUGAGUAGAAGAGAGAGUGGGCGCCGGAGGGAAAAGCCCUCCUCUCACUCAGGGUGGCGUGCUAGGACUUCCAAUGUUCCCGUGCCCACCUUCACUCCCACUGGCAUUCCCACAAGUGUGUCUGAUGGCUGGUUCCUGCGGCCCCGCUCCCGGGCUCUGACCUCAAUCCGUCUCGUUAAACCGUAAUUGGAAAUGAGCCGGCCGUUUACCUCGCCGGAUAUAUAUCUGUGAACCCGCCCUCCUCUGGGAAAUCGGCACCUGCGUGCUCCCUUUAUGAAUCAAACGCUGGGAUUUCUCACCUACCGCUAAACUCAUCUAGGCAGAUCUGAGGUUUUCACCGUCGCCGAGGUAUAUUUCAGAGAGCUCGCCCCAAGGCGCUACUUUACGGCUCAGGAGACAGAGGGGCGAAAUGACACUCGCUCCCACACUUUAUUCUUUGAGAUGAUGUAUUAGGGUGGGAUGCCAUACUCUGCACUGCAGCGGUUCGCCAUCAUUAUUCAUCGGUAUGAAUGAUUUGUAAUCAAUGCUUGCUGGUUUGCUGUUCAUUUUGGGAUAGGAGUCAUACUUCUGCUCAAUAUCUGGCUGUGCUGCAUUUCACACGAGGGAGUUUCCCGUUGCCAGAACAAAGGGGGAUUCUGGUUACCCUGAAGGCAACACUGGUACCAAAAGGUACAGCAGUAUCAGACUUCUGAAUGUGAAUGCUCGCGGGGUAAUCUGUGCUCAAGUGGCUCUGCCUCACCCAGAGCCCACAUUAGCAUGAAUGCAAUAAGCUCUCAAUGUCCCCAAGUCUCCUCUAUAGCAGAGACAAAGACACAUGUAGGAACAAACAAGGCGCUACGGUACAUACAGUACACAAAUACACACCAACGCACCACACUCUCUGACGCUGUCUUUCCCAUCCCUUUCAGUCUAAUCCAACCUGCAGACACGCCGCCUCCACCAGAUCGAUGGCAGUGUCCUUGGAAAUGAAACCUCAAGGUCGGCUUUCCCUAUGUUCCCCUAUACCUCUACCUGAGUCAUGGUGUCUGUUUGUAACAACUUCUUGGAGUCAACACAAUAAUCUAUCGGUUAACAAAAUGCAGAAAAAUAAUAUUAAAAGCAGAAAUAUAAAACAAUGACUCUUUCAUCUUGACUCUGAAUAUCAAAGAAGACACAGCUUUCUAUCAGGUUGAAGCACGCUGAGAUGAAUCUCAUACUUGAAUAAUAAUAAUCACAUUUUCUAAAUAUACAGCCGUGUUUAUCCCCAUGGCUGAGUCAAAUACAUAUUUAUAUGCGCAUUCCCGUACAUUCAUCCACAGUGUAAAAUGAAUAUAUAUCUAAUCCAUAUUUUGCCUCUAUUGUUUUCUAGGCAAUACAGAAUGCUACUCAGCCCUGAAAAUAAGCCACAGUGUGAGCAUUAUCAAACAGGUUGAGUCAAAUAAAGCUACGAUUGGUGUGUGAAAUUAAAUUCAUGUUUGAUCCCUCAGCACCUUUACCGUCUCAGAGAAUAUAACAUAUCUCAGUCCAUGUUUUUGGCAGUGGGGGAUACUUUGUGUGGGUAUGAGGUGGUUGCAUAUAAAAGGGACUUUUAUCAUAUUUCAGAUCUGUUACAAUCCUUUGCUAUCUGAGCAAGCAAGCUGCAAUCUACCAACACUGGGUCACUACACCAACUAAUAACAUUAAAUAUUAAAAUGUGUCCGGUUAGUAAAUUGAUCAAAAUGUAAUGGACAAUUUAACUUUCAUCAGAACGCAAAUGAAUGAUUGCAAACCGUGAUUAAUGACCACAACAAAGUCCUUCCUUAUUCCAGAAACAAGAGCUUCUUAGCCCUUCUCAAGCCAGUGGCUGACCUAUUUAAGUCUCAUAAUGAUGAUGAACUUGCCAUGCUAAUGACCAUUUCCCUAUUGCAUUAGGAAGUACUUCCUCUCACUGUGGCACAAUGGCGUUGGGUAACUGCAUAAGCCAGCAGCAGUAGUCUGACACAGAAUCAUCCGCCCACACAGCCCGGCAGGACGGAGCAAGAGGGCCACAACAAAUGACUCACUCAGGAUCAUUUUAAAUGUAAUGAACUCGCUGUAUAUUCCGGUCUGCAAACUAGGUUCCCGAUUCAACGUGAAAACAAAGACUAGAAAUAGAUUGCGAAGAUAGGAGGAUGGUAGAUAUCUCUUGGGCUGAUUAUUGUCUCCAUUUCCUUAUUCUAUGUAUGCAAACUCCAAAAACUGCCAUCAUUAAGACAGUAAAUGAGUUUUACAUCAUCUAUGUGCCGGAUUAGAGAUUUUUUGUUUAUUAACCAUUUCUAAUUAUGUGCAAGGUGUGUAAGGUAAUCUCCCCUGUCCCGCAUCCAUUAAACCUUGCAUUUUAACCCUGUGAGAUGUGAGCAAUCACUGUGUGAAUGAACAAUAAAUCCCGUUUCAGUGUUGGUGCUGUCUGUGAUUCUUGGGUUGUUUCUGAUCCACCCGUGAGACACUGUCACCGUCGAUCAGUUACUGGUCUCUCGGUUUCUCUGCCAUAUUGACAGCUGCUCUGAAGUCUCUGCUCAUCCUGAGUCCUUCAACGGAGCGGAGCGUCACAGACGUGGACAGUCCCACAACAUGGUUCUAAAGUGACGCAGACUGUCAGAGCUAGUGGAGCAGACGAGAGGAGCCGGAAACGGAUUAGUCCAUUUUGAUCUGCUUAGCUGCUACUCAGGGGAAUACAGGCAGGCCCACAUGAGUAGAUGAAGCAUACCGGAAUACUAAGGAAGGCUUGAAGGAAUUGGCUGACGCAUUGUAGAUACAAGAAAUAGACAAGCAAAGAAAACUAAGAAAGGGGAUGAGUAUGACAGACGGCAGAAACAAGUGACAUCGUGAUGAGCCCAGCCCAGUUUUGAGUAGAAGCUUGAGAUAGGGGAAGGUCACAAGUCUAAAAAGAGAUGGUGAACCUGCUUUUAACUGAGGUACCGGCUCGUAACUGAGGUACCGGCUCGUAACUGAGGUACCUGCUCGUAAUUGAGGUACCUGCUCGUAAUUGAGGUACCUGCUCGUAAUUGAGGUACCUGCUCGUAAUAGAGGUACCUGCUUUUAACUGAGAGACCUGCUUUUAACUGAGGUACCUGCUCGUAACUGAGGUACCGGCUUGUAACUGAGG
ensembl:lncRNA